GAUGAACGCUGGCGGCGUGCCUAAUACAUGCCAGUCGAGCGAACGGACGAGAAGCUUGCUUCUCUGAUGUUAGCGGCGGACGGGUGAGUAACACGUGGAUAACCUACCUAUAAGACUGGGAUAACUUCGGGAAACCGGAGCUAAUACCGGAUAAUAUUUUGAACCGCAUGGCUCAAAAGUGAAAGACGGUCUUGCUGUCACUUAUAGAUGGAUCCGCGCUGCAUUAGCUAGUUGGUAAGGUAACGGCUUACCAAGGCAACGAUGCAUAGCCGACCUGAGAGGGUGAUCGGCCACACUGGAACUGAGACACGGUCCAGACUCCUACGGGAGGCAGCAGUAGGGAAUCUUCCGCAAUGGGCGAAAGCCUGACGGAGCAACGCCGCGUGAGUGAUGAAGGUCUUCGGAUCGUAAAACUCUGUUAUUAGGGAAGAACAUAUGUGUAAGUAACUGUGCACAUCUUGACGGUACCUAAUCAGAAAGCCACGGCUAACUACGUG
rnacentral:rRNA from 1 species